AUUGAUCGAUGGCGGGUAUGUGUGUGAACGCAGAAAAUGUGUGGGCCGGGAAUGUAGUGGCAGCAUUACUUAUUAGCGGGGUAGAGGGAGUUUCUGACUUUUGUUGAUUCUUAGCUUUUCGCGCAGAGUACGUUGUGUUCAGUAUAUCAACGAUUGACGAGCAUUUGAGAAGAACGCGCAUAAUUCGAUAGACACAAUACGGCAUGUAAAUGGAUGACGUCGUAGACGUAAACGCGACAGGCUUCUACUAUUAUAGUUACAAGGUCUGGUUAAUCAGAAGCCCCUUAUGGGCUUAAUAUUGUAGUUGAGUGCGUGAAGAUAUUAUACAAGCUGCGUUUUGUGAGAUAUAUGGGAUGGAUAGCGCUGGAGAUUUGUAAAAUGCCCUCCAUGAAGAUUACGUUCGGUUUUACUUUGGAAAGCGUUAAUAUUUAAGUGGCCAGUAAUAGCUAAACGAAAAAUAUGCGCACAGUGACAUUGGUGACCAUCGGUUGUGAAUUUAAAAUGCAAAUGCAAAAGCCAAAAUGUGUGGAAGAGUAUGAGAGCCGUCCAUUCCAAAGAUUCGACAUCUACAUAAAUGAAUGGAACCACUGUAAUGUAACACAUAGUUUGCCUACAGAUGUGUAAAUGGAUAUUCCGCUCCUGAUGGUGUGGAGCUGCUAAUUGGUUGCUGCUGCUGCUGAUGACGAUUGUAUGACUUUAAAAAUAAUUGCAAAUUUUAAAAAGCUUCGAAUGAGUAGCUCAUGUGGACGGCAUAUUACAAUGUAAUUUUGCUUAGAACGCCAUGGCAUCAUACAAGGAGCUUCUUUUCGAUUGGGUUGGCUUAUUCCGGCAGACAAAUAGCGAGCAAUGGACACAAGCAGGUAUGUACAAUAUUAAGAA